rnacentral:tRNA from 1 species
GGACCUGUGGUGCAGCCUGGAGUGCACGUCGGCCUGUCAAGCCGAAGGUCGCGGGUUCAAAUCCCGUCAGGUCCG